AUGUGAGUGUGGGCACCGCCACUACUGCUAUAGCCUGGAUGUGGUGGAUUAUCAUUGGUCACGUCGUUCAUUUCUGCCUGCAUGGGCAAUCUAGCGCUUUAUAUAAAAAAUAAAAAUACACAGAAAUAAAUACUUUUAUUCAGGAAAGAUGCAUUCAACUGAUCAAAAUUGACAGCAAAGAUUUCAAAUGCUGUUGUUUAGAAUUUUAUAUUCAUCAAAAAAUUCUAAAACAAAAAAAAGUACCACAGUUUCCACAAAGGUCAUGUGACACUGAAGACUGGCGUAACGGGGCAAAAUGUGAGUUCAUGGAUGGGUGCCACCACUUCUGGAUGCCUCUGACUCGUGGACAGGAGAGACCUCAUGGAACAGACUCAUGCACAGGAGAGAGCAGACACACAUAAUGGCAACCACCAUCACAGGCAGCGCAGUAGACAGAGGGAGGUCUGUUGGGUCCGAGAGUGUCAAAGCUGUGAGGCUUGGGAGCGUAAAGACCACUGGGACGCCAGCCACUCGCACUGACAUUAAAGAUACUGCUGCGAAGUUUCCCCUCCAUCCUCCCCACCACCACCAGGCUGGCCCUGUACAUGCGGGGGUAUGCUGCACUCUGCCUUCGUCUUCGGCAGGAAUAGCUGGAAUCUACAACGUCUGAUUCAAGCUACAGAUGGAGCCUACACCAAAAUAGUUCUGUUCUUUGUAUUGGUUUUGUAAAUAAAUACUUUUGACUUCUUCACCUCCGGAGUCUUUCUGGUAGAACUAUAGAGUUUAUUGCUAUGAAAAUGUUUCAAUGAAAUUACAAGAAAAAGUAAACUGAAUGUAUGUUAUUUAUGUAGCCGGUAGGGUGGUUGAGACGGGAAGUGUACCUUUAAGGCCUGCUCAUUGGCACUGAUCAUUUGGUGUAAGUGACACCUUUAAAUGUGUUGUGAGACAUGAACAGAAAAACAUUAAUGCGGUGUGAGUUGAAGAGCGAGCCUCUUGGUGUAUCGUCUGUGUAAACAGGAGAAUCACUAAAUCAUGAAUAAUAUCACAGCGUCAUGUGGAGAGAUUCAGUCUGCUGUGGGGUUUGUGUAUGUGAUUCUGCCUGUUGUACUGAAUAAAACCAACAAUCCUGACUGUGAGCAGAGCUGGUAUUCACAGGAUGGGCGUGUGAUAGCAGAUCCAUCAGAUCCUCAAACACUGAUUGAUCCUGUUAUGUCUGUCUCAUCUGAUCGUCUCGUCACUUCUUACUGUGUGGAUGAACUUGGUCAUGAGAUCAUCUGUGAUACUUCAGGAUUCAGAAUGGAGACCAUGUUCAGAGUGAGGAAUGAGACGGACCCCAUCAGCGGAUCCACACAAACUCCAAACUCAUAUCGGUUGUGGUGGCUUUUUGCUUUGUCGUCAUUGUUCUUAUCAUCAUCAUGAUCUGUUUCAUGCUGUGGUACAGGUGAGGUUCUUCUUAUGACUGUUAGAAACCAAGAUCUUUAUGUUAAAUUAAAUUUGUAAAAUGAAAGCUAAUUUGAACUUUUUGUGUUGGGACUGCAUUAAUCAUUUGUGUUGCACUAACUGAAACUGGAUCUGUAGUUUGCAGCAUGCUUUGCUUUGCUUCGUGAAAAUCCUUUUAUAAAUCUCAGUCAGGGGAAGAUCUCCA
ensembl:lncRNA